rnacentral:rRNA from 1 species
UCUCUUGAGAGCGGCGGACGGGUGAGUAAUGCCUAGGAAUCUGCCUGGUAGUGGGGGAUAACGUUCGGAAACGGACGCUAAUACCGCAUACGUCCUACGGGAGAAAGCAGGGGACCUUCGGGCCUUGCGCUAUCAGAUGAGCCUAGGUCGGAUUAGCUAGUUGGUGAGGUAAUGGCUCACCAAGGCGACGAUCCGUAACUGGUCUGAGAGGAUGAUCAGUCACACUGGAACUGAGACACGGUCCAGACUCCUACGGGAGGCAGCAGUGGGGAAUAUUGGACAAUGGGCGAAAGCCUGAUCCAGCCAUGCCGCGUGUGUGAAGAAGGUCUUCGGAUUGUAAAGCACUUUAAGUUGGGAGGAAGGGCAGUUACCUAAUACGUGAUUGUUUUGACGUUACCGACAGAAUAAGCACCGGCUAACUCUGUGCCAGCAGCCGCGGUAAUACAGAGGGUGCAAGCGUUAAUCGGAAUUACUGGGCGUAAAGCGCGCGUAGGUGGUUUGUUAAGUUGGAUGUGAAAUCCCCGGGCUCAACCUGGGAACUGCAUUCAAAACUGACUGACUAGAGUAUGGUAGAGGGUGGUGGAAUUUCCUGUGUAGCGGUGAAAUGCGUAGAUAUAGGAAGGAACACCAGUGGCGCAAACAGGAUUAGAUACCCUGGUAGUCCACGCCGUAAACGAUGUCAACUAGCCGUUGGGAGCCUUGAGCUCUUAGUGGCGCAGCUAACGCAUUAAGUUGACCGCCUGGGGAGUACGGCCGCAAGGUUAAAACUCAAAUGAAUUGACGGGGGCCCGCACAAGCGGUGGAGCAUGUGGUUUAAUUCGAAGCAACGCGAAGAACCUUACCAGGCCUUGACAUCCAAUGAACUUUCUAGAGAUAGAUUGGUGCCUUCGGGAACAUUGAGACAGGUGCUGCAUGGCUGUCGUCAGCUCGUGUCGUGAGAUGUUGGGUUAAGUCCCGUAACGAGCGCAACCCUUGUCCUUAGUUACCAGCACGUCAUGGUGGGCACUCUAAGGAGACUGCCGGUGACAAACCGGAGGAAGGUGGGGAUGACGUCAAGUCAUCAUGGCCCUUACGGCCUGGGCUACACACGUGCUACAAUGGUCGGUACAGAGGGUUGCCAAGCCGCGAGGUGGAGCUAAUCCCAUAAAACCGAUCGUAGUCCGGAUCGCAGUCUGCAACUCGACUGCGUGAAGUCGGAAUCGCUAGUAAUCGCGAAUCAGAAUGUCGCGGUGAAUACGUUCCCGGGCCUUGUACACACCGCCCGUCACACCAUGGGAGUGGGUUGCACCAGAAGUAGCUAGUCUAACCUUCGGGAGGACGGUUACCACGGUGUGAUUCAUGACUGGGGUGAAGUCGUAACAAGGUAACCAAGGGCGAAUUCCACAGUG